GACGAACGCUGGCGGCGUGCUUAACACAUGCAAGUCGAACGAAGUGGCGAACGGGUGAGUAAUGCGUCAUCAACCUGCCCUUCAGAGGGGGACAACAGUUGGAAACGACUGCUAAUACCGCAUACUGAAGGAGGGGAUUGCGUCUGAUGGGGUAGUUGGCGGGGUCACGGCCCACCAAGGCGAGUAUCAGUAGGCGGUCUGAGAGGAUGAACGGCCACAUUGGGACUGAGACACGGCCCAGACUCCUACGGGAGGCAGCAGUGGGGAAUCUUCCGCAAUGGACGAAAGUCUGACGGAGCAACGCCGCGGGAGUGAUGACGGCCUUCGGGUGGUAAAGCUCUGUUAAUCGGGACGCGGUACCGGAAUAGAAAGCCACGGCUAACUACGUGCCAGCAGCCGCGGUAAUAC
rnacentral:rRNA from 1 species